CCUACGGGUGUCAGCAGUGAGGAAUAUUGGUCAAUGGGCUUACGCCUGAACCAGCCAAGUCGCGUGAGGGAAGACUGCCCUAUGGGUUGUAAACCUCUUUUGUCAGGGAGCAAUUGGCGCUACGUGUAGCGUUAUCGAGAGUACCUGAGGAAAAAGCAUCGGCUAACUCAGUGCCAGCAGCCGCGGUAAUACGGAGCAUGCGAGGGUUAUACGGAUUUAUUGGGUUUAAAGGGGGCGUAGGCGGAAUGCCAAGUCGGCGGCAAAAUCGCGGGGCUCAACCUCGCUCCGCCGUUGAAACUGGCGUUCUUGAGUGGGAGAGAAGUAUGCGGAAUGCGUGGUGUAGCGGGGAAAUGCAUAGAUAUCGCGCAGAACUCCGAUUGCGAAGGCAGCAUACCGGCGCCCAACUGACGCUGAGGCACGAAAGCGUGGGUAUCGAACAGGAUUAGAUACCCCUGUAGUC
rnacentral:rRNA from 1 species